GACGAACGCUGGCGGCGUGCCUAAUACAUGCAAGUCGAACGGUCUUUUCUAUGGAAGCUUGCUUCCGCUGAGAAGAUAGUGGCGAACGGGUGAGUAACACGUGGGUAACCUGCCCAUAAGAGGGGGAUAACAUCCGGAAACGGGUGCUAAUACCGCAUAGUUUUCUUGAUCGCAUGAUUGAGAAAGGAAAGACGGCCUUUGUGCUGUCGCUUAUGGAUGGACCCGCGGCGUAUUAGUUAGUUGGUGAGGUAACGGCUCACCAAGACGAUGAUACGUAGCCGACCUGAGAGGGUGAUCGGCCACAUUGGGACUGAGACACGGCCCAAACUCCUACGGGAGGCAGCAGUAGGGAAUCUUCCGCAAUGGACGAAAGUCUGACGGAGCAACGCCGCGUGAGUGAAGAAGGUUUUCGGAUCGUAAAACUCUGUUGUCAGAGAAGAACAAGUUGGAGAGUAACUGCUCCAGCCUUGACGGUAUCUGACCAGAAAGCCACGGCUAACUACGUGCCAGCAG
rnacentral:rRNA from 1 species